rnacentral:rRNA from 1 species
ACGCUAGCUACAGGCUUAACACAUGCAAGUCGAGGGGAAACGGCAUUGAGUGCUUGCACUCUUUGGACGUCGACCGGCGCACGGGUGAGUAACGCGUAUUCAACCUUCCCAUUACUGUGGGAUAACCUGCCGAAAGGCAGACUAAUACCGCAUAGUCUUCGUUGAUGGCAUCAGAUAUGAAGUAAAGAUUUAUCGGUGAUGGAUGGGGAUGCGUCUGAUUAGCUUGUUGGCGGGGUAACAGCCCACCAAGGCAACGAUCAGUAGGGGUUCUGAGAGGAAGGUCCCCCACAUUGGAACUGAGACACGGUCCAAACUCCUACGGGAGGCAGCAGUGAGGAAUAUUGGUCAAUGGACGGAAGUCUGAACCAGCCAAGUAGCGUGCAGGAUGACGGCCCUAUGGGUUGUAAACUGCUUUUGUAUGGGGAUAAAGUUAGGGACGUGUCCCUAUUUGCAGGUACCAUACGAAUAAGGACCGGCUAAUUCCGUGCCAGCAGCCGCGGUAAUACGGAAGGUCCAGGCGUUAUCCGGAUUUAUUGGGUUUAAAGGGAGCGUAGGCUGGAGAUUAAGUGUGUUGUGAAAUGUAGACGCUCAACGUCUGAAUUGCAGCGCAUACUGGUUUCCUUGAGUACGCACAACGUUGGCGGAAUUCGUCGUGUAGCGGUGAAAUGCUUAGAUAUGACGAAGAACUCCGAUUGCGAAGGCAGCUGACGGGAGCGCAACUGACGCUUAAGCUCGAAGGUGCGGGUAUCGAACAGGAUUAGAUACCCUGGUAGUCCGCACAGUAAACGAUGGAUGCCCGCUGUUGGUACCUGGUAUCAGCGGCUAAGCGAAAGCAUUAAGCAUCCCACCUGGGGAGUACGCCGGCAACGGUGAAACUCAAAGGAAUUGACGGGGGCCCGCACAAGCGGAG